rnacentral:rRNA from 1 species
GAAGUCGUGAGACCAAAGUGGGGGACCUUCGGGCCUCACGCCGUCGGAUGAGCCCAGAUGAGAUUAGCUGGUAGGUGGGGUAAAGGCUUACCAAGGCGACGAUCUCUAGGGGGUCUGAGAGGAUAGCCCGCCACACUGGAACUGAGACACGGUCCAGACUCCUACGGGAGGCAGCAGUGGGGAAUAUUGCACAGUGGGCGAAAGCCUGAUGCACCCAUGCCACGUGUGUGAAGAAGGCCUUCGGGUUGUAAAGCACUUUCAGCGAGGAGGAAGCGAUAAAUGCCAAUACCAUUUAUGUUUUGACGUUACUCGCAGAAGAAGCACCGGCUAACUCCGCGCCAGCAGCCGCGGUAAUACGGAGGGUGCGAGCGUUAAUCGGAAUAGCUGGGCGUAAAGGGCAUGUAGGCGGUGAGUUAAGUAAGAUGUGAAAUCCCCGAGCUCAGCUUGGGAAUGGCAUUUGAAACUGGGUCGCUAGAGUUUUCUAGAGGGGGGUAGAAUUCCAGGUGUAGCGGUGAAAUGCGUAGAUAUCUGGAGGAAUACCGGUGGCGAAGGCGGCCCCCUGGAGAAAGACUGACGCUGAGGUGCGAAAGCGUGGAGAGCAAACAGGAUUAGAUACCCUGGUAGUCCAGGCUGUAAACGAUGUCGAAUUGGAG